CGAAAAUUGUUUUCUAAGCGACUUUUUGGCCUUGGGAAUACGGACUAACCGUUCAAUAAAGGUCACUUAACUAGUAUUUAUAUUAUGAAAUUUUCGGGACUUUGCCACAUGACCGCUUAACAAAGGGUGACCGCUUAAUACGGUGCCGCUUAAUACAGGUUCGACUGUAUACUAAAUCUAUAUAUUGUGAAUUUACAGUGUCAGACGCGCACAGACUGUCAUACGAAUAAACAUAAAUUUUCGAGUUUUCUACUUCUACUAACAUUUGUAAAGUUUUCAUUGUGAAUCAUCUGUUUAUUUCUAGUUCAUUAGUCAUUAAUAUGCUCUAAAAAACAAGGCUCUCGAAUAUAUUUGUACAUUUAUUUGAUAGUGUCAUAGUCAUAUAUGCAUUUACAAGCAAUCCUGGAUAUGAUAAAGACGAUACAAGCUGUCCAUUAAAAAAUAACGGGAUUCUAUUCCACAAAGAAAAAUAUUUAAAUCUCACUUGUAUUAUUAAGAAUAUAUAUAAAGCAAAAAAUUUAAACUUGUGUGAGUUGUGUCAAAACGAAAG